rnacentral:rRNA from 1 species
AUUGAACGCUGGCGGCAGGCCUAACACAUGCAAGUCGAGCGGAGCGGCGGACGGGUGGGUAAUGCCUAUGAAUCGGCCUGCUAGUGGGGGCGAAAGUCCGGCAACGGGCGCUAAUACCGCAUACUAUCAGAUGAGCCUAGGUCGGAGUAGCUAGUUGGUGGGGUAAAGGCCUACCAAGGCGACGAUCCGUAACUGGUCUGAGAGGAUGAUCAGCCACACUGGAACUGAGACACGGUCCAGACUCCUACGGGAGGCAGCAGUGGGGAAUAUUGGACAAUGGGCGAAAGCCUGAUGCAGCCAUGCCGCGUGUGUGAAGAAGGUCUUCGGAUUGUAAAGCACUUUCAGUUGGGAGGCGUUACCAACAGAAUAAGCACCGGCUAACUUCGUGCCAGCAGCCGCGGUAAUUC